CAGAGGUUCUUCAGUGGUAAAUGUUGUGGCCAUUCACAAUAUCUUUUCUUAAUAAUGGUCGCAUGUGUGUUCCCAUUGAAACUGGUCAUUUUGACAAGAAAAAAGGCUCACCUCGGUGUUCAUUUGCAAGAUACAGGUGGAGCUCCUUCACCGUGGCCCGGUCCAUAGCAGCCUGGACUCGUAACAUGUCCCUCUGCUCCUCCAAGCUGGCUCUGCAAUCACGCACACA